rnacentral:lncRNA from 1 species
CUCGUCGGUGGCGACGGAGAUGAGGGAGUCGAGGUCCUCGUUGGGGAGCUGGUACUUGAGGGAGAAGGGGAGACCGCCGAGGAGGUCCCGGGAGAGCUUGGCGGUGAGGUCAGCGAGGGAGGAGUUGCGGUCGACGACGACCAUGCGGGUCUCGCCGCCGAGAUAACAUAGGGCCCUGUCGGUGGGGCGGGGGACGAUGCGGCCUCCGUAGCUGCACAUCAGCCGGAGGCGCGACGACACCGCCGCGGCGGCAGACGAAGAGAACGGUUCGUCCCAGGAGUCGCCGCCUCGAGAGCGAGGGGAGGAGUCGACGGAGGCCGCAUAGCCUGGGGCGACGCCUCCUUCGGAGAUGGCCGUCGCCGCCGGUUCCGUCAUCGCAGUGCGCGAGGUGAGGAAGGGAUCGCCCAGCCCGGAUCGAGUCACGG